rnacentral:tRNA from 1 species
CAUUUUUGAAAAACUCAACGUGAAUACUACAAGUAUUCUUAGGUUUAACAAGCCUUCAAAAACCA